UACGUAGGGUGCAAGCGUUGUCCGGAAUUAUUGGGCGUAAAGAGCUCGUAGGCGGUCUGUCGCGUCGGGUGUGAAAUCCCCAGGCUCAACCUGGGAACUGCAUUCGAGACUGCAUUGCUAGAGUAUGGGGAGAGGGAAGUGGAAUUUCAGGUGUAGCGGUGAAAUGCGUAGAUAUCAGGAGGAACACCGGUGGCGAAGGCGGGUCUCUGGGCCGAUAUUGACGUGGAGGAG
rnacentral:rRNA from 1 species